UACGGAGGGUGCGAGCGUUUGUCCGGAAUCACUGGGCGUAAAGGGCGCGUAGGCGGCCUGAUAAGUAGGGGGUGAAAUCCUGCGGCUUAACCGCAGGGCUGCCUUCUAAACUGUCGGGCUCGAGCACAGUAGAGGCAGGUGGAAUUCCCGGUGUAGCGGUGGAAUGCGUAGAGAUCGGGAAGAACAUCGGUGGCGAAGGCGGCCUGCUGGGCUGUUGCUGACGCUGAGGCGCGACAGCGUGGGGAGCAAACAGG
rnacentral:rRNA from 1 species